rnacentral:lncRNA from 1 species
AAAAAUCAUAAACCUUCAGAGACUAUUACCAUUUCAUGACUAUUUAAAUAGAAACAUGUUUCGCACAGGGGCUGUAACGAAAGCACACGUUUAAAUUACCAGCUUAAAGAAGCUUUUAAGUGCAGGAUCAGGGAUCUGUCUUUUCCGCUUUCUCAGUUAGGAGCUUUUUCUCGACAAGGUCGAUUUAUGGUAGAAAUGGAGAGAGGGGGGCGUCAAGUCAAGGUUUAAAAUAGGAAGAUUCAGCCUUAUUUGGUUGAAAAAGCGAGAGGUGCACCCCGGGGCGGAGGCCCCCGCCCCUUGCACUCCAGCCCCAAAGGGCAAAAGAAACGCCUGAGUUUAUGUUCCUCUAUUGCAAUUCGCUUGCAAAACAGGCAGAGUUGGUUCUAGGGAAUGCGAACCCUCGGAGGUUCAGCUGCAGACCCUGGGGGUAGGGGGCACACCGGGCUGCGAUUUUCCCGCAGACAGAUUAAGCAUCAAAUGUUGAGAACAUCCCAGGAACAAAUGAAGACGCCAGGAAAUAAAGAUGAACUGGGCGAGAAACACGCCUUGGGAAGCAACUGCGGGGUUGGAGAUGAUGCCAAACGGCUACAGUCGCUGGGCUGGGAUUUGCGAUCUCUUAAUUGCCUCGUGUAAAAUAAAAGUUGUACCCUGAAGAGGUUACUCGACAGCUCCGGGGGUUAAGUGACUUUCCUACGAUUGUAUGAAGCUGAGGCCAACUGAAAAUUCAUCUUGGUGUUUGGGCUAAGGUUUCUUGGGUUCGAAGUGAACAAGAAUACAGAACUUCUAUGGAGACACUCAGCCGCUUCUGGAAUUGAGCUGACAUGCAGACCCGAGUGCGCCUGAAAAUCUAGGUAUCUUGUCACUUGUGCAUCAAAAUAAAUCAUUGGGAACCAACUCUUUUCUGUGCUAAUCGGCUCCAGUUUUCCCAAGUUUCCCCUUUUUAAUUAAAGAAGGAAGAGUUCCUUUAUGAUUUGAUGAUACUAAUAUGGGGCUCACUGGCAGCACAGUGCCCAUCAGGCUG